UCGUCUCUUGAAGGUGAGCUGUAUGGUGAGGAUCCUCCCCUCUUCCCCCCUUUGUUGCGUCUCCCCCCCCCCCCCAUCCUCAGGUUAACAGAAAAAUUAUAACAGGUUAACGGAAUAAUUCGUCCUGACCAUUGCACCUAAGAUUAUUACCGGUGGUUCAUAGUGGUACAGUUGUCAGCGCCCCGGAGGUCUUCACAAGGUGGUCACAAGCUUGACAAACGCGCCAUAACAAAGUUGCUGCUGAAAAUACUGGCGUGGGAUCUCUGGGACCCUCCACGUGGCCCCAGACGGCUCCCUGGUGGCGGUCUAAAGUCUGCUGAGCCAAACCAGUUGUCUGCACCAGUUUGUCGCCUCUGCCUUCCCAAGAGUUCAGGGAAAGUCUCUACAAUUCUCCAAACACCCUAACCUGUUCACAACUAAUUGCUUUACAGUCCCAUAUUACGUCCACAGUUCUCAAAGCGGCACCCUUGUGCUUCCAACCUUUAACUCAUUUUAAGUUUCCCAGCUUCCCUCGGCCUCUACCCCAGCCUCGACCACAUCCCCAGCUUCCGUUGGUCACUGCUAAAGUCUCUCGGCCUUCAAGGCCACAUCAAACUCGACACUUCAUCCUGUGGAAUACCUGUUAACGUGAUACAUGAAGAGAGCUGGGAAAGGCUUCUCAUGGUGCGUGAAUAAACUUUACAGCUUGGAUAGAGCAAAAUCUUACUGCUAGUGUUAGCAGAGGCUUCCAGCUAAUUAGCAUUAAACACAAGAAUAAGUUAGACUUCAU